rnacentral:rRNA from 1 species
UUUUCCCGACGAGGGGGGGGGCGGGGGAGUUAAAUUUUGGGAAAGUUACCUGAUUGGAGGGGGACAAACCAUUGGAAAACGACUGGUUAUUCCCGCCUUUUGCCUGAGGGGUGAAAGCAGCAAUGCGGUUUCAGAGGCGCCCAAACGGGAUUAGCUGGUAGGUGAGGUAAAGGGUUCACCUAGGCGACGAUCUCUAGUUGGUCUGAGAGGAUGAUCAGCCACAUUGGGACUGAGACACGGCCCAGACUCCUACGGGAGGCAGCAGUAGGGAAUAUUGCACAAUGGGGGAAACCCUGAUGCAGCCAUGCCGCGUGUGUGAAGAAGGCCUUCGGGUUGUAAAGCACUUUCGGAGGGGAGGAACAAAUGACGUUACCCUCAGAAGAAGCACCGGCUAACUCCGUGCCAGCAGCCGCGGUAAUACGGAGGGUGCAAGCGUUAAUCGGAAUAACUGGGCGUAAAGGGCAUGCAGGCGGUCGGACAAGUAGGAUGUGAAAUCCCGGGGCUCAACCUCAGAACUGCAUUCUAAACUGUUCGACUAGAGUAUUGCAGGGGGAGACGGAAUUUCAGGUGUAGCGGUGGAAUGCGUAGAUAUCUGAAAGAACACCAAAGGCGAAGGCAGUCUCCUGGGCAAAUACUGACGCUCAUAUGCGAAAGCGUGGGUAGCAAACAGGAUUAGAUACCCUGGUAGUCCACGCCGUAAACGAUGUCAAUUAGGAGCUUGGACUUAAGUCUGGGUUCCGUAGCAAACGCAAUAAAU